GAUGAACGCUAGCUACAGGCUUAACACAUGCAAGUCGAACGAGAACGGGAUAUAGCUUGCUAUAUUUGUCAGCUAAGUGGCGCACGGGUGAGUAAUGUAUAGAUAACCUGCCCUCUAGAAAGGAAUAACAGUUGGAAACGACUGCUAAUGCCCUAUAUGCCUUUAAUACAUAAGUAUGCAAGGGAAACGCUUUAGUGCUAGAGGAUGGGUCUGUAUGGUAUCAGCUUGUUGGUGAGGUAAUGGCUCACCAAGGCUAUGACGCCUAACUGGUUUGAGAGGAUGACCAGUCACACUGGAACGGAGACACGGUCCAGACUCCUACGGGAGGCAGCAGUGGGGAAUAUUGCACAAUGGCCGAAAGUCUGAUGCAGCAACGCCGCGUGGAGGAUGACACAUUUCGGUGCGUAAACUCCUUUUAUAUAGGAAGAUAAUGACGGUACUAUAUGAAUAAGCACCGGCUAACUCCGUGCCAGCCGCCGCCGUAA
rnacentral:rRNA from 1 species